CCUACGGGAGGCAGCAGUGGGGAAUAUUGCGCAAUGGGCGAAAGCCUGACGCAGCGACGCCGCGUGAUGGAUGAAGGUCUUCGGAUCGUAAACCUCUGUCAGCAGGGAAGAACGGUCACUGUGCUAAUCAGCAGUGAAUUGACGGUACCUGCAAAGGAAGCACCGGCUAACUCCGUGCCAGCAGCCGCGGUAAUACGGAGGGUGCGAGCGUUAAUCGGAAUUACUGGGCGUAAAGCGCUCGUAGGCGGUAUGUCAAGUCAAGGGGUAAAACCCCGCGCCCAACGUGGGAAGUGCCGUUGAAACUGGCAAACUGGAGUGAGUGAGAGGAGAGUGGAAUUCGAGGUGUAGCGGUGAAAUCCGUAGAUAUCAGGAAGAACGUCGAUGGCGAAGGCGACUAUCUGGCACAUAACUGACGCUGAGGAGCGAAAGCGUGGGUAGCAAACAGGAUUAGAUACCCCAGUAGUC
rnacentral:rRNA from 1 species